AGGAGUUUGAUCCUGGCUCAGAACGAACGCUGGCGGCGUGCUUAAGACAUGCAAGUCGAACGGUAAGGCACCUUCGGGUGUACACGAGUGGCGCACGGGUGAGUAACGCGUGGGUAAUCUGCCUUCGGGUUUGGGACAACUUCGGGAAACUGGAGCUAAUACCGAAUAAGACCACGAGGUCCUUGGGCCUUGCGGAAAAAGGUGGCCUCUUCUUGAAAGCUAUCGCCUGUUGAUGAGCCCGCGUCCCAUUAGCUUGUUGGUGAGGUAAAAGCUCACCAAGGCAUCGAUGGGUAGCUGGUCUGAGAGGAUGAUCAGCCACACUGGAACUGAGACACGGUCCAGACUCCUACGGGAGGCAGCAGUCGGGAAUCUUGCACAAUGGGCGAAAGCCUGAUGCAGCAACGCCGCGUGAGGGAUGAAGGCCCUCGGGUCGUAAACCUCUGUCGGGAGGGAAGAACGCGCUUCGGACCAAUACUCCGGAGCGUUGACGGUACCUCCAAAGGAAGUGCCGGCUAACUCCGUGCCAGCAGCCGCGGUAAUACGGAGGGCACAAGCGUUGUUCGGAAUUAUUGGGCGUAAAGCGCGUGUAGGCGGCUUGGUAAGUCGGAUGUGAAAGCCCGGGGCUCAACCCCGGAAUUGCAUACGAAACUGCCUCGCUAGAGUCUCGGAGAGGAGGGCGGAAUUCCCGGUGUAGAGGUG
rnacentral:rRNA from 1 species